rnacentral:rRNA from 1 species
GCGUUGUCCGGAUUUAUUGGGCGUAAAGAGCUCGUAGGCGGCUUGUCGCGUCGUUCGUGAAAACCUGCAGCUCAACUGCAGGCUUGCGGUCGAUACGGGCAGGCUAGAGUUCGGUAGGGGAGACUGGAAUUUACGGUGUAGCGGUGAAAUGCGUAGAUAUCGUAAGGAAGACCAGUGGCGAAGGCGGGUCUCUGGACAGUUCCUGACGCUGAGGCACGAAGGCCAGGGGAGCAAACGGG